ACAGGAUGGCUCUGAAGUCACAAUGGCUGAACUGGCCCCGGGCACAGUUAGAACUCGCCCCAGGACACCUCAGCUCCGUUUUCCAAAGACCCAUUCUCUGGCCAGCAGGAACCUUUUGAUUUGUGUUUCGCAGGCUUUAAUAAGGUGGAUUAUGCUGAUGUGAGUGGAGGAAGCCCCCAGCCGUGCUGAGAGGGGCCGCAGACUUUUCCGGCAGAUUUCUCCAAAGCAGGGCUUUUCAACCUUGAGGAGCUUUGAAAAUGCCUCACCCCUGGGCCUUCAUAUAGACCGCAAGCCCAGGGCAUUGGAAUUUUUUAAAGCUCUCGGUUAAUUCUCACUAGCACCCGGGGUUGAAAACUGCUCCUCUGAAAUAUUGUGGACCCACCGAAGAAGAGAAAGCGGACAUCUGGAACAUAGGGAAGCCUUGAUUUAUGCUGGAGUCACCAGGAUGAUACCCGCCAUGCUGACAGUGAGCUGUGCAGAUGAGCACACGGGCCCACGGAAAAAUUUCCUCCUGGCAGAAUUUAGAUUUUAAACUCUCCAACAGGACUGCUCUCUCCUCUGACCGUUCACUUCACCUGCGUCCUGGACCCCUACUUUGCAAUGACCAUCGUCUGCCUGGAUCACACCGUCACUCCCCCCCCGCCACCCCCGCUGAGGAUUCCUUGAGGAUAACAGGUGUGGCAUUUCAUCUCCUGGAGGCCAGUGUGGAGUCUCAGAAAAAGCAUGUGCUUUGGCACGAAUCCUCCCAGCGAGCCAAAGAGAUGACUAAGUGGAGGAGGCUCAGAGAGGUGAAGACACUUGUCCCUGGUCACCCAGCUAGCGAGUGCUGGGCUGGGGUCUGAACCCCUCUCACCACGAACUGGUACUUGUUCCUCUGCCAUAUCACUUGGGCUUCCGCAUAGUUUUCCUUUGAAGAAAGGGAUAAACAGCUUAAAAAUCAUUGGGAACCAGCGCACCAGACCAAGUGAAGUCCCGGGGCUCGUGCCUGGCGGAUCGGCGUGUGAUAAGAGAGCUGCCCCGAGUCUCAGCUCGGAUGUUGGCCCACAGCCCUACUGUGGCCGGCCCCUGACUAGACCUGUCCUCAUCCCACUGACGAACUCAGAGGGGGCUGCCCAGGGCUUGGCAAGCACUGUCUCCUUCGAUCUACUGGAACGAUGUACCAGCUUGUUGCCAGGGCUAAGGUAUACCUGGGAA